GAUGAACGCUGGCGGCGUGCUUAACACAUGCAAGUCGAACGGAAAGGCCCAAGCUUGCUUGGGUACUCGAGUGGCGAACGGGUGAGUAACACGUGGGUGAUCUGCCCUGCACUUCGGGAUAAGCCUGGGAAACUGGGUCUAAUACCGGAUAGGACCACAUUUUGGAUGGUGUGGUGGAAAGUUUUUCGGUGUGGGAUGAACUCGCGGCCUAUCAGCUUGUUGGUGGGGUAAUGGCCUACCAAGGCGUCGACGGGUAGCCGGCCUGAGAGGGUGUACGGCCACAUUGGGACUGAGAUACGGCCCAGACUCCUACGGGAGGCAGCAGUGGGGAAGAUUGCACAAUGGGCGCAAGCCUGAUGCAGCGACGCCGCGUGGGGGAUGACGGCCUUCGGGUUGUAAACUCCGUUCGCUAGGGACGAAGCGUUAUGUGACGGUACCUGGAGAAGAAGCACCGGCUAACUACGUG
rnacentral:rRNA from 1 species